rnacentral:snRNA from 1 species
AUUGCUACUUGCCUUUUGGCUAAGAUCAAGUGUAGUAUCUGUUCUUAUCAGUUUAAUAUCUGAUACGUCCUCUAUCCGAAGACAAUAUAUUAAAUGGAUUUUUGGAAUUAGGAGAUGGAAUAGGAGCAUGCUCCAUUCACUCCACACAUCUACCUGGUAUUGCAGUACUUCCAGGAAUGGUGCACAAAAA